AACACCAGGAUUAUCUUCAUAAGGACUUGCCUUUGGUUUCUGUGCUGCAGGCCAGUGUUUACCAGCGUCCGUGUUCAUGAAAAUAUGUGCAAGUCGAAACGACAUGUAUGGGGAUGUAAAGGACAUUUUCAAGAUGUCCUCUGGGUCUGGUGUGUGCGAAGCGGUUUGCGGGAUGAUGAGAGCCUGGGAUGGGAGGGCCAUCUUUCAGGAUCUGCCUUCCUGUUCUGACCACUGAGCUCCAUAUUGGUUAGUCCUCCGGAGAAGUCAGAGUGUAUGGACCUUAUGCCUUUGGUCAUAAGAGACCAGGCUGCAGAAGACGUCAAUGUUACUUUUGAAGAUCAACAAAAGAUAAACAAAUUUGCACGGAAUACGAGUAGAAUCACAGAGCUGAAGGAAGAAAUAGAUGUAAAAAAGAAACAACUCCAAAACUUAGAGGAUGCUUGCGAGGACAUCAUGCUCGCAGAUGACGACUGCUUAAUGAUACCGUAUCAAAUUGGUGAUGUUUUCAUUAGCCAUUCUCAAGAAGAAACACAAGAAAUGUUAGAAGAAGCAAAGGUACAGGGACAGCAGAACACCUGGUCCCUGCCUGCAUGGAUUUCAUAGUUACUUUAUGGGCGGUUGGAGAGGCUCUGGCAGAAGCCAUGCUUGUUUAGCAGAAGUGGCCACCAUGUUUAUGUAGGGUUCUUUGUUUAUUCAGAUAUGAAAAAUUUGCAAGAAGAAAUUGAUGCCUUAGAAUCCAGAGUGGAAUCCAUUCAACGGGUGUUAGCAGAUUUGAAAGUUCAGUUAUAUGCAAAAUUUGGGAGCAACAUAAACCUUGAAGCUGAUGAAAGCUAAACAUUUUAUAUUACCUUUAAAAUUUGUUUAAUAAACUUGAAUAUUGUUUAAAUGAUAAUUUUCCUUUUUCAGAUGAUAUGGAAAGCAAAACUUUCUUUUUUAAAAAAGAUUUCAUUUAUUUAAUGGAAACUUGCCUAUUUUCACAUGUCUUGCUUAUUUAUUUUAUAUUUUUGAAAGAAUACAGUAUUCAUCUAUGUAUUUUGCAUAAUGAUUCUAUCAAGUGUAGGGAUUUUAUGUCAUGUUAUUAAACUCAGUUAAGCAAUC